AUACAAGUUGCUAGCGGCCCAGUUUCCUCAACACCCAUACCUUAUGACCAAAUUAAGAGCCAGUGUGAAGCCCUUGUAUCCGGGAAACAGCAGAAGAUGUCAGUGCUUCAUAGUUUCAAGCAUCAAAAAGAGUACAAGGCAAUAGUUCCGUCUGAUGAAAAUGAAAAGAAAUGCCACAUCUUCUCAUCUAGGACUAGGGAGUGUUCAGAUGGGGAUCUAAUGCUGAUGAAUAAGGAGCCAGUUCGAGGACAUGAUCAGCUUCUCCCCUGUUCACUGGAGUAUCAACAAAUUUCUUUCAGAUUACCGCCUUCCAGCCCCUAUGACAAAUUCUUGAAAGCAGCUGGAUGCUAACAGAAGUAAUUAGCUGUGAAUAUAUAUUAUUUUUUAUGGUUCUUUUUCUUUGUUUUCUCUUUUUCAUCCACAUACAGUUGGCUAUUUCUUCAUUAUAUGGAAUUAAUCAUAAAAUUAUUUCCAUUUUGCUUAGAUAUGUUCUCCCGAACUUGCGAAAAUGAUGAAAUGAACCAAGAAGUACUGUAAUGGAGAAACUAAGUGGCCUUUUGCACAAACAUAUUUGGAUAUUUGGCGAGAGUUGUUAAUAUUAAACUAUAUGCUUACCCCCUUCGGCCUCUAUGUAAUAGAGAGAGAUUAUAACAUGUGAGUAAUGUGCAAGACAUUUUACAAAGAAUUUCUUUUAAAGAUGUUCUUUCCCAGCACAGGCUUUUU